rnacentral:rRNA from 1 species
GACGAACGCUGGCGGCGUGCUUAACACAUGCAAGUCGAACGGAAAGGCCCUGCUUUUGUUGGUUUCUCGAUUGGCGAACGGGUGAGUAACACGUGAGUAACCUGCCCUUGACUUUGGGAUAACUUCAGGAAACUGCGGCUAAUACCGGAUAUGAUCUCCUGCUGCAUGGUGUGGGUUGGAAAGUUUCGGCGGUUGGGGAUGGACUCGCGGCUUAUCAGCUUGUUGGUGGGGUAGUGGCUUACCAAGGCUUUGACGGGUAGCCGGCCUGAGAGGGUGACCGGCGACAUUGGGACUGAGAUACGGCGCAGAAUGCUACGGGAGGCAGCAGUGGGGAAUAUUGCAGAAUGGGCGGAAGUCAGAUGCAGAAACGCCGCGUGCGGGAUGACGGCUUUCGGGUUGUAAACAGAUUUCGAAUGUGACGAAGAGUGAGUGACGGUAAUGGGUAAAGAAGCACCGGCUAACUACGUG